rnacentral:rRNA from 1 species
GGUUAAGCGACUAAGCGUACACGGUGGAUGCCCUGGCAGUCAGAGGCGAUGAAGGACGUGCUAAUCUGCGAUAAGCGUCGGUAAGGUGAUAUGAACCGUUAUAACCGGCGAUUUCCGAAUGGGGAAACCCAGUGUGUUUCGACACACUAUCAUUAACUGAAUCCAUAGGUUAAUGAGGCGAACCGGGGGAACUGAAACAUCUAAGUACCCCGAGGAAAAGAAAUCAACCGAGAUUCCCCCAGUAGCGGCGAGCGAACGGGGAGCAGCCCAGAGCCUGAAUCAGUGUGUGUGUUAGUGGAAGCGUCUGGAAAGGCGCGCGAUACAGGGUGACAGCCCCGUACACAAAAAUGCACAUGCUGUGAGCUCGAUGAGUAGGGCGGGACACGUGGUAUCCUGUCUGAAUAUGGGGGGACCAUCCUCCAAGGCUAAAUACUCCUGACUGACCGAUAGUGAACCAGUACCGUGAGGGAAAGGCGAAAAGAACCCCGGCGAGGGGAGUGAAAAAGAACCUGAAACCGUGUACGUACAAGCAGUGGGAGCACGCUUAGGCGUGUGACUGCGUACCUUUUGUAUAAUGGGUCAGCGACUUAUAUUCUGUAGCAAGGUUAACCGAAUAGGGGAGCCGAAGGGAAACCGAGUCUUAACUGGGCGUUAAGUUGCAGGGUAUAGACCCGAAACCCGGUGAUCUAGCCAUGGGCAGGUUGAAGGUUGGGUAACACUAACUGGAGGACCGAACCGACUAAUGUUGAAAAAUUAGCGGAUGACUUGUGGCUGGGGGUGAAAGGCCAAUCAAACCGGGAGAUAGCUGGUUCUCCCCGAAAGCUAUUUAGGUAGCGCCUCGUGAAUUCAUCUCCGGGGGUAGAGCACUGUUUCGGCAAGGGGGUCAUCCCGACUUACCAACCCGAUGCAAACUGCGAAUACCGGAGAAUGUUAUCACGGGAGACACACGGCGGGUGCUAACGUCCGUCGUGAAGAGGGAAACAACCCAGACCGCCAGCUAAGGUCCCAAAGUCAUGGUUAAGUGGGAAACGAUGUGGGAAGGCCCAGACAGCCAGGAUGUUGGCUUAGAAGCAGCCAUCAUUUAAAGAAAGCGUAAUAGCUCACUGGUCGAGUCGGCCUGCGCGGAAGAUGUAACGGGGCUAAACCAUGCACCGAAGCUGCGGCAGCGACACUGUGUGUUGUUGGGUAGGGGAGCGUUCUGUAAGCCUGUGAAGGUGUACUGUGAGGUAUGCUGGAGGUAUCAGAAGUGCGAAUGCUGACAUAAGUAACGAUAAAGCGGGUGAAAAGCCCGCUCGCCGGAAGACCAAGGGUUCCUGUCCAACGUUAAUCGGGGCAGGGUGAGUCGACCCCUAAGGCGAGGCCGAAAGGCGUAGUCGAUGGGAAACAGGUUAAUAUUCCUGUACUUGGUGUUACUGCGAAGGGGGGACGGAGAAGGCUAUGUUGGCCGGGCGACGGUUGUCCCGGUUUAAGCGUGUAGGCUGGUUUUCCAGGCAAAUCCGGAAAAUCAAGGCUGAGGCGUGAUGACGAGGCACUACGGUGCUGAAGCAACAAAUGCCCUGCUUCCAGGAAAAGCCUCUAAGCAUCAGGUAACAUCAAAUCGUACCCCAAACCGACACAGGUGGUCAGGUAGAGAAUACCAAGGCGCUUGAGAGAACUCGGGUGAAGGAACUAGGCAAAAUGGUGCCGUAACUUCGGGAGAAGGCACGCUGAUAUGUAGGUGAAGCGACUUGCUCGUGGAGCUGAAAUCAGUCGAAGAUACCAGCUGGCUGCAACUGUUUAUUAAAAACACAGCACUGUGCAAACACGAAAGUGGACGUAUACGGUGUGACGCCUGCCCGGUGCCGGAAGGUUAAUUGAUGGGGUUAGCGGUAACGCGAAGCUCUUGAUCGAAGCCCCGGUAAACGGCGGCCGUAACUAUAACGGUCCUAAGGUAGCGAAAUUCCUUGUCGGGUAAGUUCCGACCUGCACGAAUGGCGUAAUGAUGGCCAGGCUGUCUCCACCCGAGACUCAGUGAAAUUGAACUCGCUGUGAAGAUGCAGUGUACCCGCGGCAAGACGGAAAGACCCCGUGAACCUUUACUAUAGCUUGACACUGAACAUUGAGCCUUGAUGUGUAGGAUAGGUGGGAGGCUUAGAAGUGUGGACGCCAGUCUGCAUGGAGCCGACCUUGAAAUACCACCCUUUAAUGUUUGAUGUUCUAACGUUGACCCGUAAUCCGGGUUGCGGACAGUGUCUGGUGGGUAGUUUGACUGGGGCGGUCUCCUCCUAAAGAGUAACGGAGGAGCACGAAGGUUGGCUAAUCCUGGUCGGACAUCAGGAGGUUAGUGCAAUGGCAUAAGCCAGCUUGACUGCGAGCGUGACGGCGCGAGCAGGUGCGAAAGCAGGUCAUAGUGAUCCGGUGGUUCUGAAUGGAAGGGCCAUCGCUCAACGGAUAAAAGGUACUCCGGGGAUAACAGGCUGAUACCGCCCAAGAGUUCAUAUCGACGGCGGUGUUUGGCACCUCGAUGUCGGCUCAUCACAUCCUGGGGCUGAAGUAGGUCCCAAGGGUAUGGCUGUUCGCCAUUUAAAGUGGUACGCGAGCUGGGUUUAGAACGUCGUGAGACAGUUCGGUCCCUAUCUGCCGUGGGCGCUGGAGAACUGAGGGGGGCUGCUCCUAGUACGAGAGGACCGGAGUGGACGCAUCACUGGUGUUCGGGUUGUCAUGCCAAUGGCACUGCCCGGUAGCUAAAUGCGGAAGAGAUAAGUGCUGAAAGCAUCUAAGCACGAAACUUGCCCCGAGAUGAGUUCUCCCUGACCCUUUAAGGGUCCUGAAGGAACGUUGAAGACGACGACGUUGAUAGGCCGGGUGUGUAAGCGCAGCGAUGCGUUGAGCUAACCGGUACUAAUGAACCGUGAGGCUUAACCUU